UACCUGGUUGAUCCUGCCAGUAGUCAUAUGCUUGUCUCAAAGAUUAAGCCAUGCAAGUCUAAGUACGAGCUCUC
rnacentral:ncRNA from 1 species